GACGAACGCUGGCGGCGUGCCUAAUACAUGCAAGUAGAACGCUGAAGAGAGGAGCUUGCUCUUCUUGGAUGAGUUGCGAACGGGUGAGUAACGCGUAGGUAACCUGCCUUGUAGCGGGGGAUAACUAUUGGAAACGAUAGCUAAUACCGCAUAACAAUGGAUGACACAUGUCAUUUAUUUGAAAGGGGCAAUUGCUCCACUACAAGAUGGACCUGCGUUGUAUUAGCUAGUAGGUGAGGUAAUGGCUCACCUAGGCGACGAUACAUAGCCGACCUGAGAGGGUGAGCGGCCACAAUGGGACUGGGACACGGGCCAGAAUCCUACGGGAGGGAGCAGUAGGGGAUCUUCGGCAAUGGGGGCAACCCUGACCGGGAAACGCCGCGUGAGUGAAGAAGGUUAUCGGAUCGAAAAGUUCUGUUGUAAGGCAAGAAAGGGGGUGAGAGUGGAAAGUUCACACUGUGAAGGUAGCUUACCAGAAAGGGACGGCUAACUACGUG
rnacentral:rRNA from 1 species